GGUUGUGGUUCAGCGGUAGAGCACUCACCUCGCAUGGGCGGGACCCGGGUUCGAUCCUCGGCACCA
rnacentral:tRNA from 1 species